GCCGCCUAUACUGCCUCUCUCCCAUAGGAAGAACACUACCUCUGGGUAGCCAGGAGCUGAGAUGCAGUCUGAAUGUUCACGGUGGCUUCUGACGUGGCAGCGUGAAUUCUCAGCUGGGCAGUGCUGAGGAUUGAACCCAUGGCCUCGUUGCAUGUCAGGGCUCCAGUGCAGAUUUAGAUCCACCUUCUGGAUGCUUUGGUCCCUGGAACAAGGCAGCAGGCUCUUGCUAUCAAGAACCUGUCCCUGAGAAGGUGCUGGGAACAUUAAAUCUUCAUGUCUGGAGGACAAGAAAACUAAAAGUACUCAUUGUUCAGUAGCCACUGAGGCUGAUGGGAGGCGGGACUGUGGAUUCACGUGGCUGACGAUGACUGGUCUUCCUGGCCAUAUUACUUUCUCUUUCUUUUAUCAAGUACAGACAUGGCGCCUGCCUGGAGUGGUGGUAUGAGUGCCCAAUCUCAACGAAACAACCAAGGCCACCUGUUCCCAUUUUUUUUUAUUGCUGUUGUUACAUGUGUAUAUGUGACAUAUGUGCAUGUAUGUUCAUGUGUUUGUGGGUACACAUUGUAUGCCGGUGUGUGUGGAUAUGUCUCUACGUGGCCAUUGAAGAAAUUAAAACAGGAAGACUCGAUUGUUA
rnacentral:lncRNA from 1 species